AUUGGCUUGUGGUUGAACUGUACUGCCGGCUCAUGCGUGACUUACGCUAAAACUUCAAUUUUGUUUGAAGUGUGUGAAGCCUUUGCUUUAAUAGGAGCUGUGAACGGCCUCUUGACGCUGAUUAUCGUUCUUGCCAAUUCCUGUGUGCCGUAUUUAAGAAGAAAAUCUUACACAAUAUUACCAGUAAUCUCCCUUGUUAUAAGUUCCUCCACUGUUCUGUGUGUGGUUAUCUCUGUGGCUGUGUGGGGAGCUGGCAUACACAAGAGUGAGGACAAUAUUGGUGCAUCAUUCAUCGUCACCGUAGUGGGGUCAGGCCUGCUGUUUGUUGGGGCCAUAUGUGUGUACCUCAGACCCAGAGACCCCAUCAGCGAGGGAUCAAAUACAGGCCAGAAUGUCAAAAUGUUGAAAGUGAAGAUUAAGAAAACAGAUGUGUAAACUUAACAUUAAACUUAAACAUUAAACCUAACAUUAAACCUUACAUUAAACCUUACAUUAAACCUAACAUUAAACCUAACAAUAAACCUAACAAUAAACCUAACAAUAAACCUAACAUUAAACCUAUCAUUAAACCUUACAUUAAACCUAACAUUAAACCUAACAAUAAACCUAACAUUAAAUCUAGCAUUAAACCUAACAUUAAACCUAACAAUAAACCUAACAUUAAAUCUAGCCUUAAACCUAACAUUAAACCUAUGAUUAAACCUAAAAUUAAAACUAACAUUAAAACUAACAUUAAACCUAACAUGAAACCUUACAUUAAACCUUACAUUAAACCUUACAUUAAACCUAACAUUAAAUCUAACAUUAAACCUAACAUUAAACCUUACAUUAAACAACAUGAAACCUAACAUUAAACCUAACAUUAAACCUUACAUUAAACCUAACAUGAAACCUAACAUUAAACCUAACAUUAAACCUAACAUUAAACCUUACAUAAAACUUAUCAUUAAACCUAACAUUAAACCAAAAUAGAGUGGUGUACAUUGUCUAGUUAACAAACCAUAACUAGAUUGCUUUUUAAAUUGGUAUUGUUGAGCAUAAUGUGUUUAUUUGUGUUUUUUUUUUAAUAUCUGCUUUUUUUUAUUAAAGUUAAUGGAAUGGUAUAUUAUUCAUACAUUUUUACUUCAAGCUAAGUUCUAAAUCUCGUUUUAAGUUGUGUUAAAUUAAAUUUAUAGUGUGUAUUGUUUAUGCUAUUUCACUAAUGAAGACAAUAAGCGAUAUAAGCUACUUUUUACCUUACAGUUUCAGUAGAACAAAAUGUAAACUAGGAAUGAAUAUUUGUUAUUUAAAUCGUGUGAUAUUUUGUUUUUAUACUGUCAGCUGUCAUACCUAAGCACAUGUAUCAAUUUAUAAGGAGGCAGACGCAGAAAUGUGUAAAGGUUAACCAUAGCCAAGGGUUAUCUCAUAUAUUAAAAAAAAAACUUGUCCAUUACUAUAAAAAAGUAUAUCUUCUGGUAGAAGUAGAUCAUUGGCUAUAUCUUUUAACUAUGGUGCAUUUUUAAGGCCGUGCAAUUUAAAAAAAAAAAGGUUUGAAAUCUAUGUAUUGAAACCAAUAACAAAUAAUGAGUCUGUUUAUUGUUUAUAAACAUUCCGUCCUACAGACACAACCUUUUAUCGAUAACAAAAAUCUUCAAAUAAGAAUCAUAGACAUAGGUCUAUGAAUGCUAUUUUUUAUAAGUUUGCUAGAAAGUUGCAACUUUGAGCUAAGUGAAAAGCAAUAAAAAGAAUAUGAUUUUUAAAAAUUACACAAUUGUAUUUUUAAUAGUGUAGUUGAACUGAUAGAAUAGAGUUAACUAUUUUUUCAUUGCUUACUUUUAUUUUAUUGCUAGUCAUUUAAAAACAAACUAAAAUGAUGUUUAUAAUUGUAUUUGCAUUUCAUAUUUUAAUUUUUAAAAGAAAAAAAAGAUCGCUUAUUGUAGCUAUAUACAAUGAUCUUAUCACUGUAUUUAAUUUUUUCUAAUGUUUUGUAUGACUCCUGUAAAAAUGUUCAUUUUAAAUUUAAAAUGUGUAUCAAUCAUUUAAUUAUUGUUAUAUGGGUGUUCGCAUAUUAUAUCUUUUAUGCUUUGUUGUCUGAAACUGUGUCUGGAAUUUUCAUGUAUGCUUACCAUUAGAUAUAUUAAUUGACCCCCACACACGUAUAAAGACCACCAGACACAUAUACAGACCAGUACCCACAUGUACAAAUCACACACAUUCAGAUACCAGCACACACAUAUACAGUUCACCACACAUACACAUACAGGCCACACACAUUCACAGACCAUCACACACAUACACAUACCACCACACAUACACAUACAGGCCACACACAUUCAGAUACCAGCACACACAUACACAUACCACCAUACCCAUGUUGCACAGACUACCACACACAAAUACAGUUCAACACCCACAUAUAUAGCUCACUACACACAUGUACAGACCACUUAUACAUAACUUAUACACAGACCACCACACACAUCUACAUACCACAUGACAUACACAGACCACCACACACAUCUACAUACCACCUUACAUAUACACAGACCACCGCACACAUUUACAUACCACCUGAUAUAUACACAGACAACCGCACACAUUUACAGACCACCUUACAUAUACACAGACCACCACACACAUGUACAGACCACCUUACAUAUACACAGACCACCACGCACAUUUGCAUACCACCUUACAUAUACACAGACCACCACACACAUCUACAUACCACCUUACAUAUACACACCACCUUACAUAUACACGUACCACAACACACAUGUACAGAACACCACACUCAAGUACACGCUAAUAAUUUAAAAAAACCACAUAUUAGCAUAUCACACAUAUCCAUCUAACGAACACCUUGCUUAUCGCAUUGUGUUUAGUGGCUUAACAAAAUUCCCAUUACACGUUACGACACCAUUUUAGCCUCAGUUGUCUACAGUACGCAACAUUGCUGAGCUUAUCGCUGGUUGUGGUACACUUGCUACCCCUGUACUUGUAUCUGUUCAACAUGACUGUACCUUGGGACACUCUAUGUAAAUGUAAUACAGUUGGCAUUUAGAUUUUAGGGAUAGCUCAUGCACUGUAUGAUAACGUGGAUAGUGGGAAUAUGUGUAGUGGUGUGUGUGUGACUAUGACCUAUGUGGGGUGGGGAGUGGGUGGAAGUAUUAAAUAGAAUUACACAUUUAUAUUUCAUUAAAAAAAAAAAACAAAUUCUCUAAAAAUGUGGUUAUAACCAUAAGGACAAUAAUUAGGUAAGGGGAGUUAAUUUUUUGGACACAUAUUUGAAGUAACUGGUCCUGUAUUGUGUAGGCAAGAUGAUGAUGUGUGAGAUUAGCCUGACGUCACAAGCAUGUUAAUCCAUUCUUUAACCAGUAAUUACACACAAAUCCCAACAUGCUGAACCUGAUACUUUAUAAAACAAUAAUUGUUCAAACUUAUGCUUUCAUGUGUUUGUCUACACCUUUCGUUUUUUUUUUUGACAAUUUUACGUAAAUGUCCAAACUUAAUUUUUAUUUUACAAAGAUCUGGGUUUAUGAAAGUUGUUUAUACAUACCACUGUAAUGUGUUAUUAUGCAUUUAAAUAAUGUCGAAUUGCCUUAUUUUAAAAAAAAAAGUUUUUAAAUUUAAUA